rnacentral:rRNA from 1 species
UCAGACGAUGCGUCAUGCAUAUCAAUAAGCGGAGGAAAAGAAACUAACAAGGAUUCCCUCAGUAACGGCGAGUGAAGCGGGAAGAGCUCAAAUUUGAAAUCUUCAAGGUUUUACCUUGACGAAUUGUAGUUUAAAGAAGUGUUUUCUGUUACGAUCGUAAUAUAAGUUCUUUGGAAUAGGACAUCACAGAGGGUGAGAAUCCCGUCUAUGAUUGCGAUUUGUAGCUUUGUGAUACACUUUCAAAGAGUCGGGUUGUUUGGGAAUGCAGCCCAAAACGGGAGGUAAAUUUCUUCUAAGGCUAAAUAUUGGCGAGAGACCGAUAGCGAACAAGUACCGUGAGGGAAAGAUGAAAAGAACUUUGAAAAGAGAGUUAAAUAGUACGUGAAAUUGUCAAAAGGGAAGCGUUUAACACCAGUGUUGUUUUCUGAAAAUCAACCUCUGUUAGCUUUAUGCAUGUUUGUUUAGACCUAAUCAGCUAUCUUGCAUGUUCUAUUGUUUGCAGUGGUGCACUUUUCAGUUUACAGGUCAACAUCAGUUUUUUUUACCGUAAAAAAGUUAAAGAAAGGUAGCUCAUGGCUCCGGUCGUGAGUGUUAUAGUCUUUUUCCUAUGCGGUAGGAGAGACUGAGGUCUGCAGUGUAGGCUAUUUGGCUAGAUACUCAGGUGCUAUGUGAUACCAUUUCAUAAACAACUUGUUGAUUAUGUUUUGUCUAUUGCAUACUCGCUUGUACUAUCAUACCUACGCUUAGAUGUUGAUCUGUAGUGCGUGCGC